GACAGAGGUUGCAAACGUUGAUCGGAAUCACUGGGCAUAAAGCGCACGUAGGCGGUCUAUUAAGUCAGGCGUGAAAGCCCCCGGCCCAACCGGGGAACAGUAUCUGAUACUGGCAGACUCGUGGAUGGUAGGGGUGAGUGGAACUCCAGGUGGCGCGGUGAAAUGCGUAGAUAUCUGGAGGAACACCGGUGGCGAACGCGGCUCACUGGACCAUACCUGACGCUGAGGUGCGAAAGUUAGGGUAGCAAACGGG
rnacentral:rRNA from 1 species